AACGAACGCUGGCGGCAUGCCUAACACAUGCAAGUCGAACGAGACCUUCGGGUCUAGUGGCGCACGGGUGCGUAACGCGUGGGAACCUGCCCUUAGGUUCGGAAUAACUCCCCGAAAGGGGUGCUAAUACCGGAUAAUGUCUUCGGACCAAAGAUUUAUCGCCUUUGGAUGGGCCCGCGUUGGAUUAGCUAGUUGGUAGGGUAAAAGCCUACCAAGGCGACGAUCCAUAGCUGGUCUGAGAGGAUGAUCAGCCACACUGGGACUGAGACACGGCCCAGACUCCUACGGGAGGCAGCAGUGGGGAAUAUUGGGCAAUGGGCGAAAGCCUGAUCCAGCAAUGCCGCGUGAGUGAUGAAGGCCUUAGGGUUGUAAAGCUCUUUUACCCGGGAUGAUAAUGACAGAACCGGGAGAAGAAGCUCCGGCUAACUCCGU
rnacentral:rRNA from 1 species